rnacentral:rRNA from 1 species
GAUGAACGCUGGCGGCGUGCCUAAUACAUGCAAGUCGAGCGAACAGACGAGGAGCUUGCUCCUCUGACGUUAGCGGCGGACGGGUGAGUAACACGUGGAUAACCUACCUAUAAGACUGGGAUAACUUCGGGAAACCGGAGCUAAUACCGGAUAAUAUAUUGAACCGCAUGGUUCAAUAGUGAAAGACGGUUUUGCUGUCACUUAUAGAUGGAUCCGCGCCGCAUUAGCUAGUUGGGAAGGUAACGGCUUACCAAGGCAACGAUGCGUAGCCGACCUGAGAGGGUGAUCGCCCACACUGGAACGGAGACACGGCCCAGACCCCUACGGGAGGAAGCAGUAGGGAACCUUCCUCAAUGGGGGAAGGCCUGCCGGAGCACCGCCGCGUGAGUGAUGAAGGUCUCCGGACCGUAAAACUCUGUUAUUAGGGAAGAACAAAUGUGUAAGUAACUAUGCACGUAUUGACGGUACCUAAUCAGAAAGCCACGGCUAACUACGUG